ensembl:lincRNA
UGGGGUACAUCCUUGACCCCAGACGUAACACAGGACUUUUCACAACUGUGUGGGAGGCGCUCAUCACAGAUGCUGCUCACUUUACACAUGAAGAAACUCAAGCACGGGGAAGUUAAGAAACUUGCCCCAGGUCACGGAGCCAGUGAGUAGUGGAAUUGGGAAUCUAACUUGUGCAGUCUGGCUCCGGGGCGCAGGAGUCGAAUUCCCACUCGGCACAGACUUUCAGUGUGGUACAGUGAUAGAUGCUUACAGCUGUGCCCGCCUAGAGGAACUCACAGGUGCCUGCACCAGGAGCAGGGGCUCCGAAGCCCCCAGCCUGGAACCGCAUCCCUGCACUGUUGCGGACCAGCCAGGCACUUUGGUCAGUUAUUCUGCUGCUAUUUGCCUCCAUUACUUCAUCUGUGAAAAGGAAGUAUAGACACUAUGGGGUGAGGACCACAGCCACACUCACAAACACGUGCAGCCACUAGUCUCCUGGGCCGUGGUGGACAGACAGGGAACAGGAGCGCCUCUCCCAGCCCUCUGUCCUCUCCGGGGCUCAGCAAGUCCCAUAACUGCCCUGGGUGCGGGGAUGGCAUGGAUGACCACGCAUCCUGCCUUACAGGCUCGUGGGAGUCACACGUGGAUGCUGGAGUCUUAGCUGUGCUGCGGAAGGCCAGCGCUCUGUGUUGGGGCUGGGGAGCUGAGAAACCGUGGGCAGAGAAACAGCACCUUUCCAGCCGGCUCCCACCUGCCAGGGCUGUGUGCCUGAGCUGCCUGGCGCCCUGCUCUUGCUUGGGUGAUUGUGUCAGUUGGCCUGGAGGCUGUCCUGUUCCGUGUCAUGAUUCCCACUUAUCUGUGGGGAAGUACAUUCCAGGACCCACAGCAGAUGCCUGAAAUCGCAGAGAGUGCUGAACUCCACGUUUGGCCGUGGGUAACUGAAACCAUGAAAGUGAAAAACCUGGGCAUGGGUGAGCUACUGCCAUCAGCUUCCCCUCUGCACUCACCUAGGAGCUCUCCGAAGAGCUGUCUGCAAACUUUGUUCAAGUCCUCAUCCUCCGGGAAAGACAGCCUGCUGUCCAAAGCAACGGCGCUGUGUUCACCGCACCACGCAAAUAUAAUGCUUAUUGAGACUUCAAGUUUAGUUUUUGGCCCCACUACAUGGAUUGGGAGAAGUGCCAGUGUAUGGCUCUGCACCAUGACUGUCAGUUUUCCUGUUUCAGUAAUGAAUGGCAUUAGAAAAUGCUGGGGGAGCUGUCUACCUCAGUGGGCUGCACUCUCCAGAAAAAGGAAUUUCUUUUCCUCCUUCUCCACCAUCCUUCCUCGUUCCCCUAGUGCUGCGUGCCCCUUUCUCUGCUUGUCCUGCCUUAGUUCCUUGAAGGCAGGGCCACGUCUGAGUUUCCAGUAAGCUUACUGUCUUUGCCCCACCUUUUCACACCUCUCUUUCCGCUUCUAACCUCCCACAUCCUUCCAGCUCCCUCAUGCUGGUUGAUGACAUCCUUCACCCCGCUUGGUUACAAGAUGGCUGCUCUAUCUCCAGCAUCACAUCAUCUCGUUUCCAAGCAGGAAGAAGAGCAAAAAAGAGAUAGGCAAAGAAACAAAGGCAGUCUUUGUUUCCAGCAAAGCUUUGUUUUUUUUAUUUAGAUAAGAUUAUUUUCUACAGAGCCCUGCACUAACAUUUCAUUUUCCAGGCCAGGGUCAAAAGACCACCUCUAACUCAGAAAAUGAGUAUUUUACAGUGGUCUAUUUUACUCCCACCCGAAUCAGGGCUGUUAGUAAGGGAGAGGGAAGGGUCCUGAAUUGACAGCUAGCAGCCACUGCCACAUGGUUCACUGCUUUGCUGUGAACCCACUCAGCCUUUCCUCUCACACACAGGAACACAAGUGUCUCCGCCGGGCCUAGUGGGAUCCCACUCACUGCUCUCGGGGAGGCGGAGGCGGGGGACCGAAGUUCAGACCCAGCUGGGGCAGCUCUGAGACUCUGUCUCAAAAAGAGACACAGACAGGGAGUGUGGGGAGAGGCAGAGGCAAAGACAGAAAAAAGAGAGACAGAGACAGAAGAAAGAAAAAGGGAGGGAGGGAGGGAACAGGGGAUAUAGCUCAGUGCAAAAGUCCAAGUUCAAACCCCAGUACUGAUAGAAAAAGAAAGAAAAAGAAAAGAGAAAACAAACACUAGGGUCUCCCAGGCAGGCAGCUGAAGUCCCAUCCUGCGCCCUGUGAGAUGGGUUCUGCAUCAGGCCCAGGCGGGGAAUCGGGAGCUGCUGUGACCUUGCUCCUAGAUGGCAAGUGACCUGCUCAGCAUGCUCGGUGUCAGUGCCUGCUUGGAAAUGGGAAAUUGCAGCAACAGCCUCCACUCAGAGAAAGAACAGGUCUGGCAUGGCACCCAGCUGUGGCCAAGCUGAAGGCUGGCAAUGGAUUCCCCGCUGGCAUCUGCUGUGCUCUGGGGAGGCUCUGCCAUAGCUACUGCCCUCUGCUGACUCGGUUCUGCCCUCAGGGCAUCCUCCUGGGGCACACAUGAGGGGGCCCUAAGGUGCAGACCAUCCUGGGGGCCCACGCCUUCCUGUUGCUAUGAGUUUGGGGUCCUUGAGGUUGUUUAGAGCUGUUUGCUAGUCACCUAACAUAAGUUGUUUUGGUUAAUACAUUUACUCAAAAACUUGGUUGGCUUCUAGUCUUUCAAUUUUACAUUUUAUUUCUUUAAAGCAACCAUAGCUAAAGGCCUCUUCCAACCUAAGCCUUACACAUGACAAUAUAUAUAUUUUUAAUCUACUGGGCUUACUACCUUUGGCCUGUUUUUGAGUUGAAUGAGUACAUUAGGGCAGUGGCUCAAAACAGUGGCCUUGGUGGGAGACAACACCUUUAACUGCCCUGUUCUGGGCCCCCCUCUGUUAGAUGCAAUUCCUAAGAGAAAAUUCUAGAGAAAUGCCUACCCAGCUCUGUCUCCUAUUAUGGCUCUGAUAUGUGGACAAGAAUUUGCAUAAACCUGGGGUAAAGAAGCUGUGUGUGUGUGCACAGGAAGUGUAGGGCUGGCCCAGCAUCACAGAGGUGCUAGUACUAGGAGAUUCAGGUUCUUUUCUUUUUGCACUGUUGUUCUUCCAAGUUAGGCAUGAUUCUUAGUUGGUACCAUGGAUGCUGAGGCAGGAUAAUUAAUCAAAGCAGGAAUUUAUUAAAAAGAAGUUUGGAGAAGGCUAGGGUAGUAGACUCCAAAAUAAGCCCCAUGGACCAACACCCUGAACUACCACCCCACAGAACCACACACAGGAAACCACUGUCACAACUCAAGAUCAUCAUAUGCCACAGUGUGUCUGCUGUGUAGAGCCUAAUUAUUAACACUGCUGCCAGAACCAGCAUCCCUUUGGUGCUUGAUGGUCAGUUUGUAACCACCGCUGCCCUCUGGAGCCUCAUUCCAGAUUGACAUUUCAUGAGACUGAAUUUGAUUGGUGGAGCCAGGUCACAUGGUUGUCCCUAGCUGCAAAGGAGUCCAGGAAGGAAGUUUUUUCAGUUCUGCCUCAGGGACGUCUCAGGAUUUUAAAGGUGAGAAAUGCCCCCAAAUAGAGCUAGAGUGUUUUAAAGUUACAGGAUACCCAGAAAAUGUGACAGGGUCACCCACAUGCUGCUUCUACUUUCUUCUUCACUCUGCACCCCACUCCUGUUUGCCUUCUGUCCCACAGCCAGAAUGACAUAGCUCUAGUUAGUCACCACAUGGCCAAGUCCUUGGCAGAUCUCUGUGCCCAUCCGACCCCUCAGCGAAUGUGCCUGCUGGCCCCCUAGAGACACUUCUCUCUUGCCGUCACCUCUACCACUCUUGGCUUCCCUCCCCUUCAUGCCGUUCCUUCUCCAUGCUCUUAGCUCGAUCUUCAUCCUCCUUCUAAACCUGAAUGAAUGGCCUCACUUCUCGUUCCAGGGCAAAGCUCUCUUCUGAGUUCCUGAUCCUCUCAGGUCCCUCAAUAUUUGGUUGUUCCACUGGCGUCUCCCACUUCACAUGUCCAGUGCAGAAGUCCUGACUGCCCUUCUUACUCUGUCUACCUUCAGUGUACCCCAUUUCUGCGAAUGCUGCCUCCAUUUUCAACCUAUUCGUGUCAGAGUUACCUGUAAUUCCCCUUUCCUUCCCACUAUAAGCAACAAUUUACAUUGUAUUCUGUCUCCUAAAUGUAUUCAGUGUCAUUUUUGUAAUUUGAAUUACCUGCAGUCAACUGUGGUCUAAAAAUAUUAAGGAAAACUUCAAAGUAAAUAAUUCUUAAGUUUAAACUGUG